rnacentral:rRNA from 1 species
UACAGAGGGGGCAAGCGUUGUUCGGAAUUACUGGGCGUAAAGAGCUCGUAGGCGGUUUGUCGCGUCUGCCGUGAAAGUCCGGGGCUCAACUCCGGAUCUGCGGUGGGUACGGGCAGACUAGAGUGAUGUAGGGGAGACUGGAAUUCCUGGUGUAGCGGUGAAAUGCGCAGAUAUCAGGAGGAACACCGAUGGCGAAGGCAGGUCUCUGGGCAUUAACUGACGCUGAGGAGCGAAAGCGUGGGGAGCGAACAGG